AAGACUAUAGACCUGCGGAGUACCUGCGGAAGGAUCAUUAUCGUAUUGUAACAAUUGGGGGGGCCACCGUGGGCUGUCGCUGACCCUUUGAAAGGGGGGUCGUGCACGCCCCCAUAGUGUCAUCCUCAUACAAUCCAACUCACCUCUGUGCAUCACCGCGUGGGUUCCUUUCUGGGUCGAGUCAGACUGGCUCAGAAAAGAGGGGCUUGCGUUUUCCAUACAAAUACCCUUAUAAAUCCA
rnacentral:misc_RNA from 1 species